UCCUAACUGAACAAAACAAAGUCGGGAACAAUGGAUUAAUGGAUAUGUAAAAGCCAUAAGGAGAACAGAACUAAAAAUAAAAUAUGAAAGAAUAUGCAAUAAACAUUAUAUAAAAGUGGAAAGCCAGCCACUUUAAAAAGAUAUUCCAAACUAAAACAUGGGUUACCAAAGCAGGCAAUAAAAAGAAAAGGUGAUCUAGAAUGCAAGAGAAGAGCUGAUGAAA
rnacentral:lncRNA from 1 species